GACAUGUCACUGUACAAUUUGUACUGUAAAUAGGAACUUUCUGGAACAUAAAAGUGUUAAAAGAAGAAAACCCUUUCAAGGAGAGAGUUGGCUAAAUGAAAUCCCUAUGGUAUAAAACUAUAUUUAAUUAGUCACAUUAUUCUGACAGGUAAUUAAAUCCCUGAGAGAUGAUCACUGAUAAGUCCUGCACCAUGCUAAUCAAACACCUGUUGACACAUUUAAUGGCAAUCAAAACCAAUAAACUCAAAUAUAUUCAUUAAUUCUCUAAAAAGGAAAUUCCCAAGCAAAGAAAUGACUGUGACUGUGGGACGUUUGUCUGUAUGUUUGCAGAGCACUUGAGCCGUGGGGAAGUUCCUAAUUUUAAUCAGGAGACGUCUUCGUAGAUGUGACCUCCUGUUGGUCGAUGUUACUUUGACGCGACCGAGCUGAAUACCUUGCGUGACCUACAAUCGGCUGUUCUUUUUGCGUGACCUGCAAUUGGCCGUUCUUUUUGCGUGACCUGCGAUCUGCUGUUCUUUUUGCGUGACCUGCGAUUGGCCGUUCUUUUUACAGGGAGCACCCAACUCUGCAGUACGGAGCAAACCAGUUGG